UUUAGAGUUUGAUCCUGGCUCAGAACGAACGCUGGCGGCAGGCUUAACACAUGCAAGUCGAGCGAAGCUUUCGGGCUUAGCGGCGGACGGGUGAGUAACGCGUGGGAACGUGCCCUUUGGUACGGAAUAGUCCUGGGAAACUGGGUUUAAUACCGUAUAUUCUCUACGGAGGAAAGAUUUAUCGCCAAAGGAUCGGCCCGCGUUGGAUUAGGUAGUUGGUGGGGUAAUGGCCUACCAAGCCGACGAUCCAUAGCUGGUUUGAGAGGAUGAUCAGCCACACUGGGACUGAGACACGGCCCAGACUCCUACGGGAGGCAGCAGUGGGGAAUCUUAGACAAUGGGGGCAACCCUGAUCUAGCCAUGCCGCGUGAUCGAUGAAGGCCUUAGGGAAGUAAAGAUCUUUCGCUGGGGAAGAUAAGGACGGACCCAGAAAGAGCCCCGCA
rnacentral:rRNA from 1 species